rnacentral:rRNA from 1 species
GACGAACGCUGGCGGCGUGCCUAACACAUGCAAGUUGGACGGCUGUGCAUGGAAGCUUGCUGAAGUGCACAGCCGUAGCCGACGGGGGAGUAAUGCAUGAGUACCUGCCCUGGGGAGGGGGCCAACAGCUGGAAAAGGCUGCUAAUACCCCGUACGCCCGGACGUGAAAGGGUGCGAUCCCGCCCUGGGAUGGGCUCAUGUCAUAUCAGCUGGUUGGUGAGGCAACGGCUCACCAAGGCGACGACGGGUAGCCGGACUGAGAGGUCGACCGGCUAAACUGGAACUGGGAUACGGUCCAGACUCCUACGGGAGGCAGCAGUUGGGAAUAUGGGGAAAUGGGGGCAACCCUGACCCAGCGACGCCGCGUGAGGGAAGAAGGCCUUCGGGUUGUAAACCUCUUUUGUAUGGGAAGAAGGAUGUGACGGUACCGUACGAAUAAGUCCCGGCUAACUACGUGCCAGCAGCCGCCGUAA